GAUGAACGCUGACAGAAUGCUUAACACAUGCAAGUCAACUUGAAUUUGGGUUUUUUAACUUAGAUUUGGGUGGCGGACGGGUGAGUAACGCGUAAAGAACUUGCCUCACAGCUAGGGACAACAUUUGGAAACGAAUGCUAAUACCUGAUAUUAUGAUUAUAAGGCAUCUUAGAGUUAUGAAAGCUAUAUGCGCUGUGAGAGAGCUUUGCGUCCCAUUAGCUAGUUGGAGAGGUAACGGCUCACCAAGGCGAUGAUGGGUAGCCGGCCUGAGAGGGUGAACGGCCACAAGGGGACUGAGACACGGCCCUUACUCCUACGGGAGGCAGCAGUGGGGAAUAUUGGACAAUGGACCGAGAGUCUGAUCCAGCAAUUCUGUGUGCACGAUGACGUUUUUCGGAAUGUAAAGUGCUUUCAGUUGGGAAGAAAAAAAUGACGGUACCAACAGAAGAAG
rnacentral:rRNA from 1 species